rnacentral:rRNA from 1 species
CAAUAGCGUAUAUUAAAGUUGUUGCGGUUAAAAAGCUCGUAGUUGGAUUUCUGUUGAGAGCAGCGCGCCUACCUUUUGGGUAAGUAUGUUGCUUGGUCUCGGCAUCUUCGUGGAAAACGUUUCUGCGCUUGAUUGCGUGGGGCGGGGUUCACGACUUUUACUUUGAGGAAAUUAGAGUGUUCACGGCAGGCAUACGCCUUGAAUAUAUUAGCAUGGAAUAAUAACAUAGGGCUUACGGCCUAUUUUGUUGGUUUCUAGGCUGCAGGCAAUGAUUAAUAGGGACAAUUGGGGGCAUUCGUAUUAACGCGUCAGAGGUGAAAUUCUUGGAUUGCGUUACGACGAACUACUGCGAAAGCAUUUGCCAAGGAUGUUUUCAUUGA